AUUGAACGCUGGCGGCAGGCCUAACACAUGCAAGUCGAACGAGUGGCGGACGGGUGAGUAAUGUCUGGGAAACUGCCCGAUGGAGGGGGAUAACUACUGGAAACGGUAGCUAAUACCGCAUACCAUCGGAUGUGCCCAGAUGGGAUUAGCUAGUAGGUGGGGUAACGGCUCACCUAGGCGACGAUCCCUAGCUGGUCUGAGAGGAUGACCAGCAAGUCUGGACCUGAGACACGGUCCAGACUCCUCCGGAAGGCAGCAGUGGGGAAUAGUGCCCAAUGGACGCAAGCCUGAUGCAGCCAUGCCGCGUGUAGGAAGAAGGCCUGCGGGGUGCAAAGUACUUUCAGCGAGGAGGAGUUACUCGCAGAAGAAGCUUCGGCUAACUCCGUGCCAGCAGCCGCGGUAAUAC
rnacentral:rRNA from 1 species